UUUGAAAUCUGGCCCUUGGGUCCGAGUUGUAAUUUGCAGAGGAUGCUUUUGGUGCGGUGCCUUCCGAGUUCCCUGGAACGGGACGCCUUAGAGGGUGAGAGCCCCGUACGGUUGGACACCAAGCCUAUGUAAAGCUCCUUCGACGAGUCGAGUAGUUUGGGAAUGCUGCUCAAAAUGGGAGGUAUAUUUCUUCUAAAGCUAAAUAUUGGCCAGAGACCGAUAGCGCACAAGUAGAGUGAUCGAAAGAUGAAAAGCACUUUGAAAAGAGGGUUAAAUAGCACGUGAAAUUGUUGAAAGGGAAGGAUUUAUGACCAGACUUUUUCUAGGGGAAUCAUCCGGUGUUCUCACCGGUGCACUUCCCCUAGUUGAGGCCAGCAUCGGUUUCUGUCGAGGGAUAAAAGCUUUAGGAAUGUGGCACCCUCCGGGGUGUGUUAUAGCCUGUUGCAUAAUACCUUGACGGGGACCGAGGUUCGCGCAUUGCAAGGAUGCUGGCGUAAUGGUUAUUAAUCACCCGUCUUGAAACACGGACCAAGGAGUCGAACAUUUGUGCGAGUGUUUGGGUGUUAAACCCUCACGCGUAAUGAAAGUGAACGGAGGUGAGAGCCUUUAGGGGUGCAUCAUCGACCGAUCCUGAUGUCUUCGGAUGGAUUUGAGUAAGAGCAUAACUGUUCGGACCCGAAAGAUGGUGAACUAUGCGUGGAUAGGGUGAAGCCAGAGGAAACUCUGGUGGAGGCUCGCAGCGGUUCUGACGUGCAAAUCGAUCGUCAAAUCUGCGCAUGGGGGCGAAAGACUAAUCGAACCAUUGACCAGCGGUCAAAACAAUCACUAGGUGGUUAAGAGGGGGUCCGCGAGGACCAUUUGAAAAACCUAGGUUGCGUCCGGUUACCCUGUAGGCUACCCUGUAGCUUACCCGGUACCGGUCCGGCCGACACCGCUAAAAUGCGGGGACAUCCCUUUACAGGGCCAAAGGCUACCGCCACGCGCUGAAAAGUGUGCUGGCACCGA
rnacentral:rRNA from 2 species